UACGUAGGGGGCAAGCGUUGUUCGGAAUUACUGGGCGUAAAGGGCGCGUAGGCGGCACAGCAAGUCGGGCGUGAAAGCCCGGGGCUCAACCCCGGAACGUCUUUCGAAACUGCUGAGCUCGAGUGCGGAAGAGGCAACUGGAAUUCCCAGUGUAGCGGUGAAAUGCGUAGAUAUUCGCAAGAACACCAGUGGCGAAGGCGGCUCACUGGCCCGAUACUGACGCUGAGGCACGAAAGCGUGGGGAGCAAACAGG
rnacentral:rRNA from 1 species